ACUGCAUUUUCUCUUGAUCAGGUUCAGGAAAGCGUCACUGUACCUGUGAAUGUUACGGUGAAAAGAUGCAUACGCAACCAUCUGAGAACGUUUUCGGACUCCCUGACCGGUGUGAACAGAACAAUCGCCAACAGACUGGCAAAAAUUCACGACUGUGAAAAGCUGUUCCCCCAGGUAAGUCCGACUUCGUGCUUUCUAUUAAAUAACGCCUGGAUUAUUGCAAAAUUCGCCCUCUGGAAGGGCGCUGCUGCCCUGCUCUGCGCUGAGGGCACCGUCCAGCUGGAGGGCUGGUUCCUGCUCCAGAGCGACCCGUCCUGGCUGCUGGUCUCCCCAGCACAAAGUAAUUGUUCUCGCUGAUAUUGCCAGUGCACUUUGCCAGUCCUGGCGCGCGUUUCGCUUGCACUUUUCCAUGACAUGGGCACUAGAAAUUUCCUUGCUUCGAAGCUAACGUCAUUAAGAAGUAUAUAUAUACAUCUGUUUUCCACUUUGAAGCACUCUCCCUUAAAAAACCAAGUGCUGCUUCCUUUUACUACUGUAAUCUCAAUUUCAAGACAGAUAAUAAUAUGAAAAACAACAUAUGUAAACGGAAACUGUGGCAGAAUCUGAUCUCAGGACAUCCUUUGCACUUCGCUUGCUGUGGCUGAUCAUAUAUAUCGUAUUGUAUAAUCUGCAUAGCGUAAUGUUGCCUUUGAAUCUACAGAGGCUUGCCCACUGUGCUUUCCAAAAAAUAUUAUGUGAUAUUAUAGCAUAUUUUAUUAGUAUUAAUAAAAACCUGAUAUAUCAAAUAGCA
rnacentral:lncRNA from 1 species